rnacentral:rRNA from 1 species
AUUGAACGCUGGCGGCAGGCCUAACACAUGCAAGUCGAACGAGUGGCGGACGGGUGAGUAAUGUCUGGGAAACUGCCUGAUGGAGGGGGAUAACGACUGGAAACGGUAGCUAAUACCGCAUACCAUCAGAUUGGCCCAGAUGGGAUUAGCUUGUUGGUGGGGUAACGGCUCACCAAGGAGACGAUCCCUAGCUGGUCUGAGAGGAUGACCAGCAACACUGGCACGGAGAAACGGUCCAGACUCCUACGGGAGGCAGCAGUGGGGAAUCGUGCACAAUGGGCGCAAGCCUGACGUAGCCAUGCCGCGUGUAUGAAGAAGGCCUUCGGGUGGUAAAGUACUUUCAUCGGGGAGGCGUUACCCACAGAAGAAGCACCGGCUAACUCCGUGCCAGCAGCCGCGGUAAUUC